AACGAACGCUGGCGGCAUGCCUAACACAUGCAAGUCGAACGAGACCUUCGGGUCUAGUGGCGCACGGGUGCGUAACGCGUGGGAACCUGCCCUUAGGUUCGGAAUAACUCCCCGAAAGGGGUGCUAAUACCGGAUAAUGUCUUCGGACCAAAGAUUUAUCGCCUUUGGAUGGGCCCGCGUUGGAUUAGCUAGUUGGUAGGGUAAAAGCCUACCAAGGCGACGAUCCAUAGCUGGUCUGAGAGGAUGAUCAGCCACACUGGGACUGAGACACGGCCCAGACUCCUACGGGAGGGAGCAGUAGGGAAUCUUAGACCAUGGGCGAAAGCCUGAUGGAGCAACGCAGCGUGGGUGAAGAAGGUCUUCGGAUCGUAAAACCAUGUUGUUAGGGAAGAAAGGGAGUGAGAGUAAAUGUUCACGUUUCGACGGUAGCUAAACAGAAAGCAAAGGCUAACUAAGUG
rnacentral:rRNA from 1 species